CCUACGGGAGGCAGCAGUGAGGAAUAUUGGGCAAUGGGCGGAAGCCUGAACCAGCCAAGUAGCGUGCAGGAUGACGGCCCUACGGGUUGUAAACUGCUUUUAUACGGGAAUAACGCGCCUUACGUGUAGGACUUUGCAUGUACCUUAUGAAUAAGGACCGGCUAAUUCCGUGCCUGCAGCCGCGGUAAUACGGAAGGUUCGGGAGUUAUCCGGAUUUAUUGGGGUUAAAGGGAGCGUAGGCCGCAUGCCAAGCGUGCUGUGAAAUGUCCGGGGUGAACCCGGGCAUUGUAGAGUGAACUGGCGUGCUUUAGUCCGCGGAAAGCAGGACGAAAU
rnacentral:rRNA from 1 species